rnacentral:rRNA from 1 species
AUUGAACGCUGGCGGCAGGCCUAACACAUGCAAGUCGAACGGUAACAGGAAGAAGCUCGCUUCUUUGCUGACGAGUGGCGGACGGGUGAGUAAUGUCUGGGAAACUGCCUGAUGGAGGGGGAUAACUACUGGAAACGGUAGCUAAUACCGCAUAACGUCGCAAGACCAAAGAGGGGGACCUUCGGGCCUCUUGCCAUCGGAUGUGCCCAGAUGGGAUUAGCUAGUAGGUGGGGUAACGGCUCACCUAGGCGACGAUCCCUAGCUGGUCUGAGAGGAUGACCAGCCACACUGGGACUGAGACACGGUCCAGACUCCUACGGGAGGCAGCAGUGGGGAAUAUUGCACAAUGGGCGCAAGCCUGAUGCAGCCAUGCCGCGUGUAUGAAGAAGGCCUUCGGGUUGUAAAGUACUUUCAGCGGGGAGGAAGGGAGUAAAGUUAAUACCUUUGCUCAUUGACGUUACCCGCAGAAGAAGCACCGGCUAACUCCGUG